UACGGGGGGGGCAAGCGUUGUUCGGAAUUACUGGGCGUAAAGGGUUCGUAGGUGGCCGACUAAGUCAGACGUGAAAUCCCUCAGCUUAACUGGGGAACUGCGUCUGAUACUGGAUGGCUUGGAUUUGGGAGAGGGAUGCGGAAUUCCAGGUGUAGCGGUGAAAUGCGUAGAUAUCUGGAGGAACACCGGUGGCGAAGGCGGCAUCCUGGACCAACAUUGACGCUGAGGAGCGAAAGCCAGGGGAGCAAACGGG
rnacentral:rRNA from 1 species